UGCAAAGGUACAGUCAACAUUUCAGUCUGACUUGGAUUUUUUUCAAGUCGGAUUGAAACGUUGACUGUACCUUUGCA